UGGGGAAUAUUGGACAAUGGGCGCAAGCCUGAUCCAGCCAUGCCGCGUGAGUGAUGACGGCCUUAGGGUUGUAAAGCUCUUUCGGCGGGGACGAUAAUGACGGUACCCGCAGAAGAAGACCCGGCUCACUUCGUUCCAGCAGCCCCGGGAAUACGUAGGGGGCUCACGUUGCUGGGAUACAUUGGGCGCAAAGCGGACGAGGGCGGCCUGCUUAGUAAGCGGGGGCAACCCGGGGCUGAACCCCGGACA
rnacentral:rRNA from 1 species